CCGGGGGCCCCAGGAGGGCAUGGGGGCUCCAGGGUGCAGGGACAGCACGUUCCCUCACCAACUCCCCAAGAACGCCCAACCUCCAAGAGCAGACACAGCGCCUACACCUGCCGGUACGGGGCUCCAACCCCACUCUCUCAGAUACGUCCUCCAGAGUCGUCUCAUCCACCCCACCCUGGGGAGGAGGGAAACUGAGGCAUGGCAAGAGACAAGACUAACACAGGCAUCAGUGAGACUCAGCCCCUCCUGCCCCUUCCUCCAUGCCCCUCCUACCCCGACUUCAGCUCCCACACCAAGGCCCCAAGCCUGACAUAGGGCCCCAGGUGCCAGGCCUCAAGGGGGCUGAAGGGAGCCCAUCUGCCCCACCGAGGGCACAGACAGUGCCAGGUCUUUGCUGAAAUGUCACCUCUUCCUUGAGGCCUUCUCUGAUUGCUGAGUAAGCCCUGUCCCCGCUCCCUGCUCCCCGUAUCCGCCCGCCUCGGCCCUCCGUCCCUUUUCUCCCUUCUCUGUGGCCUGCCCGCUCUCACAGAAUGCAGACUCCAGGGGUCCAGGGUGUUACCUCCCGGGCAGCAGGAGGAAAUGUCCUGGGCUCCCCACCCAGCGCUCAGCGCCCCCCGCUAAGUACAGCACUCACUCCUUCAUCCAUUCAGCGUGGGCUCUCCCGGCACCAGCACCGCCAGGCCCUGUGCAGGACCCCAGGGUCAUCAGGAAGGAAAUGAGGCAGCCCAAGGAGGCGGGAGACGGGGCCCUACCCAGCACCCAGCCAUCUGCAUUGACACGGCUGCCCGCAGGAUAUCACUGCCCCCAUCCCGGGGCCCACCAUUACCAGCAGGGAGAGGGAGGCAGGUUCAGCAGGGACAGAGCUCAGGGGGAAGGCACCUCCCGUCCUGGUUCAAUACAUGGACCCCUGACCCUGGGAAAGGGACUGAGCCAGGGGAGGCCUCAGGUCACUGCACCAUGAAGUUGUGGGGAGCUGCGGGGGCCUCUGGGCUCCGAGCUGGGCAGGCACAGCGUGGGGACCACGUGCCGAGGGGAAGAAGCGUGCCAGGGUGGACGUCUCAGUGCACACGCAGGAACAUGCAACGGCUGAGCCAGCCCAGAGAGGCAGCGGAGCGUGUGCGGGGCGGCCGGCGGAGGAGCAGCAGGAUCCCAGGCGGGAGCGCACGGCCUUUUCGGAGGCAGGUUCCAGGACAAUACUAAGCGUUUACAUCAUUGCACUAUUUGAUCCAGGAGGUCCCACUGUGGCGUUUCAUCGAUAAACGCACAUGCGAGGUGGAGGGUGGCUGGUGUGGAAUGUGCCCGGCAGCCUUCAUAGCAAAGGAGAAUUCUAGAACCAACCGAAGUGCCCCUCUGAAGGGAGCUGGUCCCGUCCGUUCCAGCCGCCGUGGAGUAACACAGCCAGCAGUUUCCCUCCUGCCACGAAAGCUCGAGACUGAAACUCAGGAUGAACUGUUUUCAGCCCGGGUCACCCCAGCCCUGGGGUGGAGGCCCAUUGAGGAUGGCCGAGCAGGGGCGGGCAUCCAGGCAGGUCCAGCAGUCCUGGCGGGCUGAGGAGAAGGAGGAAAGGCUGGGCUGGACCUGCUCUGAGAGGCUUCAGAACCAGCCACACGAAGACCAAAGUGAAGAGCAAGGAGCUGAACUCCACGCAGAACACAGCGCAGCGUCCUUUAAAGGAAGGCCAAAAACAACCCAACAAAAAUGCCAGGUGAUCAAAGCGGUCACAGCACAAUGUCCACAUCCAACGAGAAAUUGCUACUACGUCCAGACGCAGGGAAAGGUGGCCGUGGGAACGUGAGUCAGCAGCAACAGGCCCAGAAGGGCAGCCACGGUGGACUUGUCAGACGUGGACCCUGAAAUGACAAUCACAGCAUGAUUUCAGGCAGGAGCCUGAAAUGGUACAGCUUUGGACAUCGGUUUGGCAAAUUCUUUUAGAGAGAAACACACACCUUCCCUAGGACCCAGCAACUCCACUCCUAAUAACCAAGUGAAAUGGAAGGAGUUGUCCUCAGCAAAACGUGUGUGCGGAAGUUCACAGUCACUUUCUCGGUGAUAACCAAGAGCUGGAAACCACUGCAACACCCACCAGCAGGUGAACGGAUUAACACACUGGGCUAGGGCCACACAAUGAGAUGCUCCGUGGCAACACAAAAUGAACCGUGGACACACACUGCACGGCGGAUGAAUAUGCAGACAUCAGGCCACGUGAAGGGAGCCAGGCCCCGAGGCGCCACGCUUUGUGAUUCAGGAAAGAAAGCACGCAGCCAAAGAGCGCAAAGAGGCUCAGAGGAGGCCCGGGUGCCCUGGAGAGACGCUGCGUCCUGACGACACAGCAUCCCUGUCCCGCAGCGGAGAUUUCCCAGAUGAAGGAUUCCCCGGCGGGAGACAGGGCCCUGCACACAGGUCCUCUGCCACGCUGCUCACCAUGCCUGUGUGUUAUCUCCC
rnacentral:lncRNA from 1 species